UACGGGGGGAGCAAGCGUUGUUCGGAUUUACUGGGCGUAAAGGGCGCGUAGGCGGCCACCGCAAGUCGACUGUGAAAUCUCCGGGCUUAACUCGGAAAGGUCAGCCGAUACUGCGGGGCUAGAGUGCAGAAGGGGCAACUGGAAUUCUUGGUGUAGCGGUGAAAUGCGUAGAUAUCAAGAGGAACACCUGCGGCGAAGGCGGGUUGCUGGGCCGACACUGACGCUGAGGCGCGAAAGCCAGGGGAGCGAACGGG
rnacentral:rRNA from 1 species